ensembl:lncRNA
CCCUGCUGCGCCCCUCCCUCCUCUGAGAGGAUCAGGACUGUGAAUGGGUGUAGUGCCUCUGAUAAUUCCUCCACGGGGCAGGAGGAGCAGCAGGUGCCCCGGUCAGUGUCCCGUCACUUCAGGCAACAUAAGAAAGAUUCACCUUCGUCUCCGGCUCUCCUGCACACACAGCUCUCUCUCUCCGUCUCUCUCUCUCUACACUCACCUGUGAGGAUGUCUACCUGUUCUUAGCUCACCUGAAUGGAGCAGCCUCUACCUGAAGUGCGGGAAGGUCCUCACGUUCUGCUGUCUGAUGUUCAGGAUUAAUCAGAAGCUCUGCAGUCAUGGUCAUUCUGCAGCAGGGGGACUAUGUGUGGUUGGACCUGAAGACUGGCCGAGAGUUCGACGUGCCUGUAGGAGCCGUGGUGAAGCUGUGUGACUCGGGUCAGAUCCAGGUUCUGGAUGAUGAAGGAAACGAACACUGGAUCUCCCCCCAGAAUGCCACCAAUAUUAAGCCCAUGCACCCCACCUCCAUCCACGGGGUGGAGGACAUGAUUCGGCUGGGGGAUCUGAACGAGGCGGGGAUUCUCCGUAACCUGCUGAUCCGCUAUAGAGAACACCUCAUAUAUACGUACACAGGGUCAAUCCUGGUGGCGGUAAACCCGUACCAGCUGCUGCCCAUCUACACAGCAGACCAGAUCCGCCUGUACACCAACAAGAAGAUCGGAGAGAUGCCCCCUCACAUCUUCGCCAUCGCCGACAACUGCUACUUCAACAUGCAGAGGAACAACAAGGACCAGUGCUGCAUCAUCAGUGGUGAGUCCGGAGCGGGGAAGACUGAGAGCACCAAGCUGAUCCUGCAGUUUCUGGCGGCCAUCAGCGGUCAGCACUCCUGGAUUGAGCAGCAAGUGCUGGAGGCCAAUCCCAUACUGGAGGCCUUCGGGAAUGCCAAGACCAUCCGGAAUGACAACUCCAGCCGAUUUGGGAAAUACAUAGACAUCCACUUCAACAAGAGAGGGGCAAUAGAGGGAGCAAAAAUCGAGCAGUACCUGCUGGAGAAGUCCAGAGUGUGUCGACAGGCCAGAGAUGAGAGGAAUUAUCAUAUCUUCUACUGCAUGCUGAAGGGGAUGACUUCAGAUCAGAAGAAGAAACUUGGCCUGGGAAAAGCCACAGACUACACCUACCUCACUAUUGGAAACUGCACGGUGUGUGAUGGUCGGGAUGAUCAGAAGGAAUACUCCAACAUUCGCUCAGCCAUGAAGGUGCUCAUGUUCACGGAUACGGAGAACUGGGAGAUCUCCAAACUGCUGGCCUCCAUCCUGCACAUGGGAAAUCUCCACUAUGAAGCUCGGACGUAUGAUAACCUGGAUGCCUGUGAGGUGGUGCGCUGUGCUGAUCUGACCACCGCUUCAAAACUGCUGGAGGUUGAUUCUAAAGACUUGAUGAACUGCCUGACCAGCCGCACUCUGAUCACUCGAGGGGAGACGGUGUCCACUCCGCUCAGUAUGGAGCAGGCCCUGGAUGUGCGAGAUGCCUUCGUAAAGGGAAUAUAUGGGCGCUUGUUUGUCUGGAUUGUUGAGAAGAUUAAUGCAGCAAUCUUCAAGCCUACAUCCCAUGAUCUUAAAGCUGUACGCAGAUCCAUCGGCCUCCUGGACAUCUUCGGCUUUGAGAACUUUACUGUCAACAGUUUUGAGCAGCUGUGUAUCAACUUUGCCAACGAGAACCUGCAGCAGUUCUUCGUCCGCCACGUCUUUAAGCUGGAGCAGGAGGAGUAUAACCUGGAGAACAUCAACUGGCAGCACAUCGAGUUCACCGACAACCAGGACGCCCUGGACAUGAUCGCCAUCAAACCCAUGAACAUCAUCUCCCUCAUCGACGAGGAGAGCAAGUUCCCCAAGGGAACAGACACCACCAUGCUGAACAAGCUCAACUCCCAACACAAGCUCAACACCAACUACAUCCCUCCCAAAAACAACUACGAGACUCAGUUUGGGAUCCAGCACUUUGCAGGAAUCGUUUAUUACGAGACGAGAGGUUUUCUGGAGAAGAACAGAGACACUCUUCACGGUGAUAUCAUCCAGCUGGUUCACUCUUCAAAGAACAAGUUCAUCAAGCAGAUCUUCCAGGCGGAUGUGGCCAUGGUAAUGCUUCCUGAUCUGAGAAUUUAUAUAUUUUAUUUGUUUAAAGUGAGCCGAAAGAACCUGUUGUUUGACAGGGAGCUGUGUGUCCGGCAGCUCCGCUACUCUGGAAUGAUGGAGACGAUCCGGAUCCGCCGGGCUGGAUACCCCAUUCGCUACACCUUUGUGGAGUUUGUGGAUCGUUAUCGUGUCCUUAUGCCUGGAGUAAAGCCUGCAUACAAACAGGAGGAUCUGAGAGGAACCUGUCAGCGGAUUGCAGAGGCCGUCCUUGGCCGAGACGAUGACUGGCAGAUGGGAAAGACCAAAAUAUUUCUGAAGGAUCAUCACGACAUGCUGCUGGAGAUCGAGAGAGACAAGGCCAUCACUGACAAGGUCAUCCUCAUCCAGAAGGUGGUCAGAGGAUUUAAAGACAGAUCUAACUUCCUUAAGAUGAAGAGAGCAGCGCUUAUCAUCCAGAAGACUUGGAGAGGAUACCACUGCCGGAAAAACUAUGAUGCGGUGAGACUUGCUCAUGAAUAUUCAUACAUCACUGCGAGGCAGCGAGACGGACAACACCGAAGUGUUUUAAUAAGCACACAGGCACAUUUUUAUAUUAUAUAUAUUAUGUGUGUAAAUGAUUUUUUAACUUUCUGCUCUUCCUCUCAGUACCGGAGGCGUCUGGAGGCGGAGAAGAUGCGUCUGGCUGAGGAGGAGAAGCUGAGGAACCAGAUGAGCGCCAAGCGAGCCAAAGCCGAGGCUGAGCGUAAGCAUCAGGAGCGCCUGGCCCAGCUGGCUAAAGAGGACGCAGAGCGGGAGAAGAAGGAGAAGGAGGAGGCUCGCAAGAAGAAGGAGAUGCUGGAUCAGAUGGAGAAAGCUCGUCAGGAGCCCGUUAACGACUCGGAUAUGGUGGAUAAAAUGUUUGGAUUCCUGGGGACCACCAACUCCUUUCCGGGUCAGGAGGGCCAGGCGCCGGCCGGGUUCGAGGACCUGGAGCGGACUAAGAGGGAGCUGGAGGAAGAAGAUCUGGAUGAAGCUCUUCCUCUGCCUGAGGAAGAUGAGGAAGACCUUUCUGAAUAUAAAUUUGCCAAGUUUGCAGCCACGUACUUCCAGGGCACAAGCACUCACACGUACAUGCGCCGUCCACUCAAACAGCCGCUGCUGUUCCACGAGGACGAGGGGGAUCAGCUGGCAGCGCUGGCGGUGUGGAUCACAGUCCUUCGUUUUAUGGGAGACCUUCCAGAACCCAAAUACCACACAGCCAUCAGCGACGGCAGCGAGAAAAUCCCUGUGAUGACGAAGAUUUACGAGACGCUGGGCAAGAAAACCUACAAGCGAGAGCUGCAGGCGCUGCAGGGGGAGGGAGAGAACGCUCACAUUGACAGUCAUAAGAAGAACAGUGUGCGUCACAAGCUAGUGUCCCUCACCCUUAAGAAGAAGUCAAAGAUUACUGAGGAGGUGAGUGACAGUUAUUACUCUCUUGUUGUUUUGCUCAACAGAGAUGAGAUCUACUGUCAGAUCUGUAAGCAGCUGACUCAGAACCCGUCUAAAAGCAGCCACGCCCGAGGCUGGAUCCUCAUGUCCCUGUGUGUGGGCUGCUUCGCCCCGUCUGAGAAGUUUGUGAAGUAUCUGAGGAACUUCAUCAGUGAAGGUCCUCCAGGCUACGCUCCUUACUGUGAGGAAAGGCUCAGGAGGACGUUUGUGAACGGCACCAGAACCCAGCCCCCCUCCUGGCUCGAGCUGCAGGUACAACCUGAAGAAGUUGAUUGUUUGAAUAACAUAGCUUUGCUUGCAGUUCAGCUUGGUGUGAUGGUUUGUGUUCAGGUGUCUUCUCUGGGCAGUGGAAGUGAUCAUGUGAUGGACGCCGUGUCUCAGUGUGAGCAGUAUGCUAAAGAGCAGGGGGCUCAGGAGCGUAACGCCCCCUGGAGGCUGUUCUUCAGGAAGGAGAUCUUCACGCCCUGGCACGACCCCACUGAGGACGGGGUGGCCACCAACCUCAUCUACCAGCAGAUCGUCCGCGGGGUGAAGUUCGGGGAGUACCGCUGUGACCGGGAUGAUCUAUCAGAGCUGGCGUCUCAGCAGUAUUAUGUGGACUAUGGAUCGGAGAUCCUGGUGGAACGUCUCCUCAGCCUCAUUCCUUCAUACAUCCCUGACCGAGAAAUCAGCUCCGCCAAGACGGUGGAGAAAUGGGCCCACUUCAUCAUGGCUGCCCAUAAAAAGGGUGUUUACACACAGAAGCGAGUGGACCCUCAGAAGGUGAAAGAAGAAGUGGUGGAAUUCGCUCGAUACAAGUGGCCUUUGUUGUUCUCUAGGUUCUAUGAAGCCUUUAAAUUUUCAGGACCCAGCUUGCCUAAGAAUGAUGUGAUUGUAGCUGUGAACUGGACUGGAGUCUAUUUUGUUGAUGAACAAGAGCAGGUUCUUCUGGAACUCUCUUUCCCAGAGAUCACUGCGGUUUCCAGCAGCAGAGGAGGCAAGCUCCAGGGGCAGAGCUUCACCCUGGCCACUGUUAAAGCAGAUGAGUACACCUUCACCUCCAACAACGCAGAGGACAUCCGAGACCUGGUCGUCACGUUCCUGGAGGGCCUAAGGAAGAGAUCCAAGUUUGUGGUGGCGCUGCAGGACAACCCCAGUCCAGUUGGUGAUGACUCUACGUUCUUGAGCUUCAUUAAGGGAGAUCUCAUCCUGCUGGAUCAGGACACAGGUGAGCAGGUCCUGAACUCAGGCUGGGCUCAUGGGAUCAAUGAGAGGACCAAACAGAGAGGAGACUUUCCAGCUGACUGUGUCUACGUCCUGCCUACCGUCACCAGACCUCAGCCUGAUGUUGUGGCUCUGGUUACUAUGACGCCAGACCAGCGUCAGGAGUCCAUUCGCGUGGCGCAUGUGCCCCUGCCCGAGAGCGUGGAGCGGGUGAAGCCGUACACACUGGAGGAGUUCUCCUACGACUACUUCAGACCGCCUCCUAAACACACCCUGAGCCGCGUAAUGAUCACGAAGAACCGGGGGAAGGAUAAGCUGUGGUGCUGCACGCGGGAGCCCAUUAAACAAGCUCUGCUGAAGAAGGUUCUGGCCCAUGAGGAGCUGUCCCAGGAAGCCUGCAUGGCAUUCAUUGAUAUCCUUUUGCAUUACUAUAUGGGCGACUAUCCAUCCAAACGAACGCGUUCUGUAAAUGAACUGACGGAUCAGAUCUUUGAGGGAGCUCUGAAGGCCGAGCCGCUGAAAGACGAGAUUUACUCCCAGAUUCUCAAACAGCUCACAGAGAAUCACGUCAAGUACAGUGAAGAGAAGGGCUGGGAGCUGCUCUGGUUGUGUACUGGACUCUUUCCACCCAGUAAUGUCCUCCUACCCCACGUCCAGAGAUUCCUGCAGUCCAAGAAACACCAUCCACUCGCACUGGACUGCCUUCAGAGACUACAGAAAGCCCUGCGGAACGGCUCCAGGAAGUAUCCCCCCCACCUGGUGGAAGUGGAAGCGAUCCAACACAAGACGACUCAAAUCUUUCACAAAGUGUACUUCCCCGACGACACAGACGAGGCUUUCGAGGUGGAGUCCAGUACCAAGGCUAAGGACUUUUGUCUGAACAUCUCCGGCCGCCUGCUGCUGAAAUCUCCUGAUGGUUUCAGCCUGUUUGUAAAGAUUUCCGAUAAGGUGAUCAGCGUUCCAGAAGGUGAUUUCUUCUUCGACUUUGUCAGACAUCUCACCGACUGGAUCAAGAAAGCCAGACCUGCUAAAGAUGGAAUUGUGCCUUCAUUGACCUAUCAGGUGUUCUUUAUGAAGAAGUUGUGGACGAACACGGUCCCAGGAAAAGAUUCUUUUGCUGACUCAAUCUUCCAUUAUUACCAGGAGCUUCCUAAGUAUCUUCGGGGCUACCACAAGUGCUCCAGAGACGAGGUCUUCCAGCUGGCAGCUCUGAUUUACAGAGUCAAAUUUGAAGAUGACAAAUCCUACUUUCCCAGCAUCCCGAAAAUGCUGAAAGAGCUGAUUCCUCAGGAUCUGAUCCGCCAGCUCUCGCCUGACGACUGGAAACGGUCGGUUGUGGCGUACUUCAACAAACAUGCCGGGAAGUCGAGGGAGGAGGCCAAGCUGCUGUUUCUGAAGAUCAUCUUUAAGUGGCCAACGUUUGGCUCUGCCUUCUUUGAAGUGAAGGUAACUUUCACUUACUACUUUAUUUCUUUAAAUGACAUUUUAACGACUCAUCCCUUCACAAAAAUCUCCAACUGGAGCAGUGGAAACACCUACUUCCACAUCACCAUCGGAAACCUGGUGCGAGGGAGCAAGCUACUGUGUGAGACCUCACUGGUAAGAGAAAUAUAG